GAUUAAGCUAUAAAGGGCGUAGGACGGAUGCCUUGGCACCAAGCGCCGAUGAAGGACGUGACAAGCUGCGAUAAGCCACGGGGAGUUGCAAAUGAACUUUGAUCCGUGGAUUUCCGAAUGAGGAAACUCACAUAUGGUAAUGCAUAUGUAACCAUACAUGAAUACAUAGUGUAUGGUGGGGAACCCGGGGAACUGAAACAUCUAAGUACCCGGAGGAAAAGAAAGAAAACAAUCGAUUUCCUGAGUAGUGGUGAGCGAAAGGGAAAGAGCCUAAACGUUUAUAUAGUGAUAUAUAAACGGGUUACGGACCCCAUAACGUACUGAUUUUUGUAGUUGAACACAGUUGGAAAGCUGGGCGAAACAGAGUAAAAGCCUCGUAGGCGAAACCGAAAUCAGACCGGGGGUAUCCAGAGUAUCACAGGACACGAGAAAUCCGGUGGGAAGACAGGAGGACCAUCUCCUAAGGCUAAAUACGACUUGGUGACCGAUAGAGUAUAGUACCGUGAGGGAAAGGUGAAAAGAACCCCGGGAGGGGAGUGAAAGAGAACCUGAAAUCCUAUGCUUACAAGCAGACAUAGCACUACUUGAAAGUGUGAUGUCGUACUUUUUGUAGAACGGGCCGGCGAGUUACGAUGUGUAGCGAGGUUAAGUGAUUAAGUCACGGAGCCGAAGCGAAAGCGAGUUUGAAAUGAGCGAUAGUUGCAUGUCGUAGACCCGAAACCAGAUGACCUAUUCAUGGACAGGUUGAAGCAGCGGUAAGACGCUGUGGAGGACCGAACCCACGUUCGUUGAAAAGACCGGGGAUGAGCUGUGAAUAGCGGAGAAAUUCCAAACGAAUCUGGAGAUAGCUGGUUCUCCUCGAAAUAGCUUUAGGGCUAGCCUCUCGUUAGUGUACCGAAGGUAGAGCACUGUAUGAGCUAGGGGGCUUCACGGCUUACUGAACUCUAACAAACUUCGAAUGACGGAUACAUGAUGCGAGGGAGUCAGACAGUGUGAGAUAAGUCUCAUUGUCAAAAGGGAAACAGCCCAGACCUACAACUAAGGUCCCAAAGUACAAGUUAAGUGGUAAAGGAUGUGUCGACGCUAAAACAACCAGGAUGUUGGCUUAGAAGCAGCCACUCAUUUAAAGAGUGCGUAAUAGCUCACUGGUCGAGUAUCGGUGCGCCGAAGAUUAUCGGGGCUAAAACUUGUCACCGAAGUUUAGGGAUAUGCGAUUGCAUAUCGGUAGAGGAGCAAUGUGUACGGGCAGAAGCUGUAUCGAAAGGGGCAGUGGACUGUACACAAGAGAGAAUGCCGGCAUAAGUAGCGAGAGCAAAGUGAGAAACUUUGCCGUCGAAAGCCUUAGGUUUCCUGGGGAAGGUUCGUCCUCCCAGGGUAAGUCGGGACCUAAGCCGAGGCCGAAAGGCGUAGGUGAUGGACAACAGGUAGAUAUUCCUGUACCACCGACAGUCGUCUAAAUGAAGCAAUGACACAGAAGGAUAGUCAAACCGCGUUGAUGGAUAUAUGCGGCCAAAUCAUUAGGCUUAUGUGUAGUGAAGUACGCACAUAGUUAAGGCUGAGUGAUGAUGGGGAGUGAAAACUAGUAAUGAAGUUGAUGAUUCCACGCUGGCGAGAAAAGUUGCUAAAUAUGGCUGAAGGUGCCCGUACCGCAAACCGACACAGGUAGGUGAGGAGAAAAUCCUAAGACGAGCGGGAUAACCCAUGUUAAGGAACUCUGCAAAAUCACCCCGUAACUUAGGGAGAAGGGGUACCACGCAAGUGGUCGCAGUGAAGAGGCCCAAGCGACUGUUUACCAAAAACACAGGUCUCUGCUAAAUCGUAAGAUGAAGUAUAGGGGCUGACGCCUGCCCAGUGCUGGAAGGUUAAGGGGAUGUGUUAGCGCAAGCGAAGCACGGAACUUAAGCCCCAGUGAACGGCGGCCGUAACU
rnacentral:rRNA from 1 species